CGGGGCUCGGAGCUGGAGGGAAAGACCUAUCUAACCAAUGGAAACCGCUGCUGGGGGCCCGGGGGGGGGCGCAUCUGAACUCCGCCGCUCGCUGUCUCGCUCUGCCCUCUGCGCGCGGGGCACCUCGCCGCCCCCUCCCGGCGGGCGCGCUCUCCUGCGCUCGCUCGCUCUCCCGCGCCCCUGGAGAGAGUCCUCCUCAACAAGUUGGAGAGAGGCAGGCACGCAGGGGUUAAGCUCGGAAAGCCGCAAUUACCAAGAUCGUGACCCUCCCACACAGUACAGUAACUUAUAUACUUACCUGGAAGAACCUGCUUGGCCGCCGGGCAAACACCGUGGGGGGCGGGGAGGAGCGGGAGGGGAGCGGGCCCGGCUGGAGGGGCUCGGGCUUGCAGCCGUGCGGACGGGACCUGCGCGCUCCCGCGGCCUCGGGACCCAGAGGCCCGGCACAUCUCAUCCAGAGGCCUGGAGGCCUGCGUGAGAGGCAGCCACUGAUGGGGAGCAUCUGAAGAUGAGCUCUGGCGGUCCAGUUGAAAAUAAUGAGCUCUUGAAGGGAAUUCCGAACCUCGCAGUCUCCCAUCGACCAUGUCAGUAUGCUCUUCUUGUUUCCCUUGUGGCUGGCUCUUCUCUAAAAUGCCAAUGAAAACUCACCACUUUGGGUAUCAAAUGAUAGCAUUCAUAGAGCGAAGCAUACUUUGAAAGGAAAAACGUCAGAAGUUUUAUCUCCCGAAGACCCUUUGAGUGUUCUUUAAAAGGUGACAUUUUUUUUCAUCUGUAGAAAAGGUUGCGCAGCCACUAACGAGGCCACGUGGUUCGAAGUCGUUCCAGUCCCACAUCCUGGAGCCGUGUUAGUUGUUGCUCAUUGUUGCCGGGGCUCCAUCUGGAGAAGGCGUACUGGCUGUGCCUCCCCUGUCUGACUCCCCGGUGUUGCUGGCCCGGUCUGGGGUCCGGAGCAGUCUCCCACCUGCACCGCUUACCAGAACUCCCAGAUUCUUCUCUGUUGAAUGCAGCACGAUGGCGCCGAGGGACUGAAAACCUUCAUAAUUGAACUUGGAGAGAUGAAGUUCAAUAUUUUGAUUCAAAUGUAAAUGAAGAUGGACUAGAAGAAAAUGGUAUUGUUAAAAAUAUGUAAGUUUCAUAGAAUUCAGCUUGUUGUCCAGCUCCACAAAAUUCUGAGCUUCUGUGAAAUAAAUUCCUUAGUUAUGGAAUUUUCUUUCAUUGUAUUAAACUAUUCCUGACUAUUCAUGAUUUCAACACACAGAAAAUCUUAUCUGAAACUCAAUUUAUUGAAGUACUGAAAAGAAAGGAAAAUUAAAUGGAAACAUUUAACUACUAA